GGCCUUAUAGCUCAAUUUGGAGGAGCAUUUACCUUCUAAGUAAAAGAUUAUGGGUUCGAUACCCAUUAAGGUCU
rnacentral:tRNA from 1 species